CCCCUCUCAGAGUCACACCUGAAGAGUUCCCAGUACUCUACCAGUCUCAACUGCAGGAGGGAGAGUCAGGCAGAGGCAUAUCCAUUCCAUUCCUAGCUUGACCAGUGGCUAGCAAGUGGAAGGUAACCUGCUACAAGU